rnacentral:rRNA from 1 species
UGCGGAGGGAGCUAGCGUUGUUCGGAAUUACUGGGCGUAAAGCGCACGUAGGCGGCUUUGUAAGUUAGAGGUGAAAGCCCGGAGCUCAACUCCGGAACUGCCUUUAAGACUGCAUCGCUAGAACGUCGGAGAGGUAAGUGGAAUUCCGAGUGUAGAGGUGAAAUUCGUAGAUAUUCGGAAGAACACCAGUGGCGAAGGCGACUUACUGGACGACUGUUGACGCUGAGGUGCGAAAGCGUGGGGAGCAAACAGG